GAUUUUGCUAUGUAAGUGUCGUUUUUUUUUCUUGUCCACCUACAUAGAAUAUGCUUGGAUGGUUUUUGAACAAUUUCUGGUUUUGAUGAAAUAUAUCUUAUAGCAACUUUGCUCUUCUUCAAUAGUAACAAGUUUCAUGUCUAUAACAUUUCUAUAUGUUGAUGCAAAUAUUCAAACAUGAGACGGAUGCUGGUUUCAACCCAACACCCUCUAAGGUAUUACUUCUUGGCUUUCGUAUAUGCACUCCCAUCUAUCCACGUGAAAUCACUAUGCAUGUACAUAAUCAUAUCUUGCUUCCAUUUUCUUCGUGUAUGCUUUAAAAACUAACAGAGUUUGUGGUGCUAUAACCUGCAGCUUAAUUAUUAAAACUCAAACCAACUGCAAUCUUGCUGCUUUUGUUUCUCAUUGUCAAUCUUCUCUCUUUCUCUUGGUCAUGUUUUUGUUUCGGAAUCAUUAUUAAUGCAAUGAUCUUAUUAGUGAA